ensembl:lncRNA
GGAGGUUAGUGGUCAGGGACCAGUCAUUACUGGUGGAGGGUAGUGGUCAGGGACCAGCCAUUACUGAUGGAGGGUAGUGGUCAGGGCCCAGUCAUUACUGAUGGAGGGUAGUGGUCAGGGCCCAGUCAUUACUGAUGGAGGUUAGUGGUCAGGGACCAGCCAUUACUGAUGGAGGUUAGUGGUCAAGGACCAGUCAUUACUGAUGGAGGUUAGUGGUCAGGGCCCAGUCAUUACUGAUGGAGGUUAGUGGUCAGGGACCAGCCAUUACUGAUGGAGGUUAGUGGUCAAGGACCAGUCAUUACUGAUGGAGGUUAGUGG